rnacentral:rRNA from 1 species
AACGAACGCUGGCGGCAGGCUUAACACAUGCAAGUCGAACGCCCCGCAAGGGGAGUGGCAGACGGGUGAGUAACGCGUGGGAAUCUACCCAGAACUUCGGAACAACUGAGGGAAACUUCAGCUAAUACCGGAUACGCCCUACGGGGGAAAGAUUUAUCGGUUCUGGAUGAGCCCGCGUAAGAUUAGCUAGUUGGUGAGGUAAUGGCUCACCAAGGCGACGAUCUUUAGCUGGUCUGAGAGGAUGAUCAGCCACACUGGGACAGAGACACGGCCCAGACUCCUACGGGAGGCAGCAGUGGGGAAUAUUGGACAAUGGGCGAAAGCCUGAUCCAGCCAUGCCGCGUGGGUGAUGAAGGCCUUAGGGUUGUAAAGCUCUUUCAGUGGGGAAGAUAAUGACGGUACCCACAGAAGAAGCCCCGGCUAACUUCGUGCCAGCCGCCGCCGUAACAC